rnacentral:rRNA from 1 species
CCUACGGGCGACAGCAGUGGGGAAUAUUGGGCAAUGGGCGCAAGCCUGACCCAGCAAAGCCGCGUGAAGGAAGAAGGCUCUCGGGUUGUAAACUUCUUUUCUCAGGGACGAAGCAAGUGACGGUACCUGAGGUAUAAGCCACGGCUAACUACGUGACAGCAGCCGCGGUAAUACGGAGGUGGCAAGCGUUAUCCGGAUUUACGGGGUGUAAAGGGCGUGUAGGCGGGGACGCAAGUCAGAUGUGAAAACCACGGGCUCAACCUGUGGACUGCAUUUGAAACUGGGUUUCUUGAGUACUGGGGAGGCAGACGGAAUUCCUAGUGUAGCGGUGAAAUGCGUAGAUAUUAGGAGGAACACCAGUGGCGAAGGCGGUCUGCUGGACAGCAACUGACGCUGAGGCGCGAAAGUGUGGGGAGCAAACAGGAUUAGAUACCCGUGUAGUC